rnacentral:rRNA from 1 species
UAGUGUAGCGGUGAAAUGCGUAGAUAUUAGGAGGAAUACCAGUGGCGAAGGCGACUCUCUGGACUGCAACUGACGCUAAGGCACGAAAGCGUGGGUAGCGAACAGGAUUAGAUACCCUGGUAGUCCACGCCGUAAACGAUGAGUGCUAGGUGUUGGGGGUCAAACCUCGGUGCCGCAGUUAACGCAUUAAGCACUCCGCCUGGGGAGUACGUUCGCAAGAAUAAAACUCAAAGGAAUUGACGGGGACCCGCACAAGCAGCGGAGCAUGUGGUUUAAUUCGAAGCAACGCGAAGAACCUUACCUGGACUUGACAUCCCUCUGACCGUUUCUUAAUCGAGAUUUUCCCUUCGGGGACAGAGGAGACAGGUGGUGCAUGGUUGUCGUCAGCUCGUGUCGUGAGAUGUUGGGUUAAGUCCCGCAACGAGCGCAACCCUUGUCUUUAGUUGCCAUCAAGUAAAGUUGGGCACUCUAAAGAGACUGCCAAGGUAAACUUGGAGGAAGGUGGGGAUGACGUCAAAUCAUCAUGCCCUUUAUGUCCAGGGCUACACACGUGCUACAAUGGCCGAAACAACGGGCAGCUAAGGAGCAAUCCGGAGCAAAUCCUACAAAAUCGGUCCCAGUUCGGAUUGUGGGCUGAAAUUCGCCCACAUGAAGUCGGAGUUGCUAGUAAUCGCGAAUCAGCAUGUCGCGGUGAAUGCGUUCCCGGGUCUUGUACACACCGCCCGUCACACCACGGAAGUCGGAAGCGCCCGAAGCCAGCUACUUAACCGUAAGGAGAGAGCUGUCGAAGGUGAAGCCAAUGACUGGGGUGAAGUCGUAACAAGGUAACCGUA